UUGACAGAUGGGUCAUCGCAUUUGCGAGGGAAACAAGUCAUGAUUUUGUCCUGUCAAGAAUCAACUCAUUGCCUGUUACUGAAUGGGUCAUCGCUUCUAAUUAUACUCGGUUUACCUCCCCUCUGUGCUAUACCUGCAUGUCCAAGAAAGAUCGCCUCUGGUCUGGGUUCGUCUCGCCUGCGUUGCAUGUUGCAUGUGUAAUUUGCAUAUUUGUUUAUUUUGAUUCUGUAUAAUGCGAUUUGAGUUUUUUUUGGGAGAAAAUGAAACGUUGAUUAGAAAUUUAGCAUAUUUGUAUAUUUGUCGUCGUUGAUGAUUUGGGGAAGUUUUUAUGCCAACGAUUUGUUGUUGUUGAUGAUGAUUUGGAGAUUUUUUUUUUUUGACUGAGG
rnacentral:misc_RNA from 1 species